GAUGAACGCUGGCGGCGUGCCUAAUACAUGCAAGUCGAGCGAACGGACGAGAAGCUUGCUUCUCUGAUGUUAGCGGCGGACGGGUGAGUAACACGUGGAUAACCUAUCUAUAAGACUGGGAUAACUUCGGGAAACCGUAGCUAAUACCGGAUCAUAUUUUGAACCGCAUGGUUCAAAAGUGAAAGACGGCCUUGCUGUCACUUAUAGAUGGAUCCGCGCUGCAUUAGCUAGUUGGUAAGGUAACGGCUUGCCAAGGCAACGAUGCAUAGCCGACCUGAGAGGGUGAUCAGCCACACUGGAACUGAGACACGGUCCAGACUCCUACGGGAGGCAGCAGUAGGGAAUCUUCCGCAAUGGGCGAAAGCCUGACGGAGCAACGCCGCGUGAGUGAUGAAGGUCUUCGGAUCGUAAAACUCUGUUAUUAGGGAAGAACAUAUGUGUAAGUAACUGUUCAUAUCUUGACGGUACCUAAUCAGAAAGCCACGGCUAACUACGUG
rnacentral:rRNA from 1 species